AACGAACGCUGGCGGCAUGCCUAACACAUGCAAGUCGAACGAUCCCUUCGGGGAUAGUGGCGCACGGGUGCGUAACGCGUGGGAACCUGCCCUUAGGUUCGGAAUAACUCAGAGAAAUUUGAGCUAAUACCGGAUAAUGUCUUCGGACCAAAGAUUUAUCGCCUUUGGAUGGGCCCGCGUUGGAUUAGCUAGUUGGUGGGGUAAAGGCCUACCAAGGCGACGAUCCAUAGCUGGUCUGAGAGGAUGAUCAGCCACGCUGGGACUGAGACACGGCCCAGACUCCUACGGGAGGCAGCAGUGGGGAGUAUUGGACGAGGGGCGAAAGUCUGAUCCAGCAAUGCCGCGUGAGUGAUGAAGGCCUUAGGGUUGUAAAGCUCUUUUACCCGGGAUGAUAAUGACAGUACCGGGAGAAUAAGCCCCGGCUAACUCCGUG
rnacentral:rRNA from 1 species